rnacentral:rRNA from 1 species
AACGAACGCUGGCGGCAGGCUUAACACAUGCAAGUCGAGCGCCUCGCAAGAGGAGCGGCAGACGGGUGAGUAACGCGUGGGAACGUACCCUUAUCUUCGGAAUAGCUAUGGGAAACUGGGAGUAAUACCGAAUGUGCCCUUAGGGGGAAAGAUUUAUCGGAUAAGGAUCGGCCCGCGUUGGAUUAGCUAGUUGGUGGGGUAAAUGCCUACCAAGGCGACGAUCCAUAGCUGGUCUGAGAGGAUGAUCAGCCACAUUGGGACUGAGACACGGCCCAAACUCCUACGGGAGGCAGCAGUGGGGAAUAUUGGACAAUGGGCGCAAGCCUGAUCCAGCCAUGCCGCGUGAGUGAUGAAGGCCUUAGGGUUGUAAAGCUCUUUCACCGGAGAAGAUAAUGACGGUAUCCGGAGAAGAAGCCCCGGCUAACUUCGUG